UACGUAGGGUGCAAGCGUUACUCGGAAUUACUGGGCGUAAAGCGUGCGCAGGCGGUUAUGUAAGUCAGAUGUGAAAUGCCCGGGCUUAACCUGGGAACUGCAUUUGUGACUGCAUGGCUAGAGUUUGGCAGAGGGGGGUAGAAUUCCACGUGUAGCAGUGAAAUGCGUAGAUAUGUGGAGGAACACCGAUGGCGAAGGCAGCCCCCUGGGUCAAGACUGACGCUCAUGCACGAAAGCGUGGGGAGCAAACAGG
rnacentral:rRNA from 1 species